CGCGGGGUAGUGUAGAAGUAGCACAGGAGGCUCAUAAUCUCCAGGCCCUGGUGCAAAUCCAGGCCCCGCAACCA
rnacentral:tRNA from 1 species